rnacentral:rRNA from 1 species
UGGGGAAUAUUGCACAAUGGGCGAAAGCCUGAUGCAGCGACGCCGCGUGAGGGAUGACGGCCUUCGGGUUGUAUACCUCUUUCAGCAGGGACGAAGCGCAAGUGACGGUACCUGCAGAAGAAGCACCGGCUAACUACGUGCCAGCAGCCGCGGUAAUACGUAGGGUGCAAGCGUUGUCCGGAAUUACUGGGCGUAAAGAGUUCGUAGGCGGUUUGUCGCGUCGUUUGUGAAAACCAGCAGCUCAACUGCUGGCUUGCAGGCGAUACGGGCAGACUUGAGUACUGCAGGGGAGACUGGAAUUCCUGGUGUAGCGGUGAAAUGCGCAGAUAUCAGGAGGAACACCGGUGGCGAAGGCGGGUCUCUGGGCAGUAACUGACGCUGAGAAACGAAAGCGUGGGUAGCGAACAGG